rnacentral:rRNA from 1 species
CCUACGGGAGGCAGCAGUGGGGAAUUUUGGACAAUGGGCGAAAGCCUGAUCCAGCAAUGCCGCGUGAGUGAAGAAGGCCUUCGGGUUGUAAAGCUCUUUUGUCAGGGAAGAAACGGUGAGAGCUAAUAUCUCUUGCUAAUGACGGUACCUGAAGAAUAAGCACCGGCUAACUACGUGCCAGCAGCCGCGGUAAUACGUAGGGUGCAAGCGUUAAUCGGAAUUACUGGGCGUAAAGCGUGCGCAGGCGGUUUUGUAAGUCUGAUGUGAAAUCCCCGGGCUCAACCUGGGAAUUGCAUUGGAGACUGCAAGGCUAGAAUCUGGCAGAGGGGGGUAGAAUUCCACGUGUAGCAGUGAAAUGCGUAGAUAUGUGGAGGAACACCGAUGGCGAAGGCAGCCCCCUGGGUCAAGAUUGACGCUCAUGCACGAAAGCGUGGGGAGCAAACAGGAUUAGAUACCCUGGUAGUCCACGCCCUAAACGGUGUCUACUAGUUGUCGGGUCUUAAUUGACUUGGUAACGCAGCUAACGCGUGAAGUAGACCGCCUGGGGGUAAGGUACGGUCGCGAGAGUUAAACGUUACGAAGAGUUAGUUAGGCGNGNGAGAGCGACGACGACGACGACGGAGGAGGAGG